CCUACGGGAGGCAGCAGUGAGGAAUAUUGGUCAAUGGGCGAGAGUCUGAACCAGCCAAGUAGCGUGAAGGAUGACUGCCCUACGGAUUGUAAACUUCUUUUAUAAAGGAAUAAAGUGAGGCACGUGUGCCUUUUUGCAUGUACUUUAUGAAUAAGGAUCGGCUAACUCCGUGCCAGCAGCCGCGGUAAUACGGAGGAUCCGAGCGUUAUCCGGAUUUAUUGGGUUUAAAGGGAGCGUAGAUGGGUUGUUAAGUCAGUUGUGAAAGUUUGCGGCUCAACCGUAAAAUUGCAAUUGAUACUGGCAGGCGUGAGUACAGGUGAGGUAGGCGGAAUUCGUGGUGUAGCGGUGAAAUGCUUAGAUAUCACGAAGAACCCCGAUUGCGAAGGCAGCCUACUAAACUGUCACUGACAUUGAUGCUCGAAAGUGUGGGUAUCAAACAGGAUUAGAUACCCGAGUAGUC
rnacentral:rRNA from 1 species